rnacentral:ncRNA from 1 species
AUAAAUGCAACGAGUAGUCAAAGUAAAUUCUAAUUGUAGAGAUCAUUCAUAAGGCUGAAAGAAUGAAGUCAGAAUUGAAACACAGCUGCUAGCAGUUUUCCUGAACGUGUCGCAAUCAGUAGGGAAGGCCGGUGCCCGUCGUUAUUCGGGGAUAAGUUUUUACGAACUUACUGAGGCGGUCACUGUGAAGGGGCUGCGAAUCAGAGGUGGAACCGCGAUAAAUCAAUCGUCCUCUCA